rnacentral:rRNA from 1 species
AUUGAACGCUGGCGGCAGGCCUAACACAUGCAAGUCGAGCGAGCGGCGGACGGGUGAGUAACGCGUAAUCAACCUGCCCUUCAGAGGGGGACAACAGUUGGAAACGACUGCUAAUACCGCAUACUGAAGGAGGGGAUUGCGUCGGAUUAGCUAGUGGGAGGGGUAACGGCCCACCAAGGCGAUGAUCAGUAGCCGGUCUGGGAGGGUGAUCGGCCACAAGGGGAAUGAGACACGGCCCUGACUCCUACGGGAGGCAGCAGUGGGGAAGAUUGGACAAUGUACCAAAGUCUGAUCCAGCAAUUCGGUGUGCACGAUGAAGUUUUUCGGAAUGUAAAGUGCUUUCAGUUGGGAAGCGGUACCAACAGAAGAAGUGACGGCUAAAUACGUGCCAGCAGCCGCGGUAAUAC